AGGACGAACGCUGGCGGCGUGCCUAACACAUGCAAGUCGAGCGGGGAUGUCUGGGAAGCUUGCUUCCGGACAUCUAGCGGCGGACGGGUGAGUAACGCGUGAGCAACCUGCCUUUAACAGGGGGAUAACGCAUCGAAAGAUGUGCUAAUACCGCAUAAGACCACAGUUUCACAUGGGACAGGGGUCAAAGGAGCAAUCCGGUUAAAAGAUGGGCUCGCGUCCGAUUAACUAGUUGGUGAGAUAACAGCCCACCAAGGCGACGAUCGGUAGCCGACCUGAGAGGGUGAUCGGCCACAUUGGAACUGAGAUACGGUCCAGACUCCUACGGGAGGCAGCAGUGGGGAAUAUUGGGCAAUGGGCGAAAGCCCUGACCCAGCAACGCCGCGUGAGGGAAGAAGGGUUUCGGCUCGUAAACCUCUGUCCUGUGGGACGAAGGAAGUGACGGUACCACAGGAGGAAGCCCCGGCUAACUACGUGCCAGCCGCUGC
rnacentral:rRNA from 1 species